rnacentral:rRNA from 1 species
AGCAGCCGCGGUAAAUUCCAGCUCCAAUAGCGUAUAUUAAAGUUGUUGCAGUUAAAAAGCUCGUAGUUGAAUUUUAGGCCUGGCCGGGCGGUCCGUCUUUGGCGAGUACUGUCCUGUGUCGGGUCCACCUUCUGGUGAACCAGUAUGUCCUUUAUUGGGUGUGCCGGGGAGCCAGGACCAUUACCUUGAAAAAAUUAGAGUGUUUAAAGCAGGCAUUUGCUUGAAUAGAUUAGCAUGGAAUAAUAGAAUAGGACGUUGUGGUUCUAUUUUGUUGGUUUCUAGGACCACCGUAAUGAUUAAUAGGGAUAGUUGGGGGCAUUAGUAUUCAAUUGUCAGAGGUGAAAUUCUUGGAUUUAUUGAAGACUAACUAUUGCGAAAGCAUUUGCCAAGGAUGUUUU